CCUACGGGAGGCAGCAGUGGGGAAUAUUGCACAAUGGGGGAAACCCUGAUGCAGCGACGCCGCGUGAGCGAAGAAGUAUCUCGGUAUGUAAAGCUCUAUCAGCAGGGACGAAAAAGGACGUACCCGGACUAGAAAGCCCGGCCAACCUCGGGCCAGAAGCCCCGGGUACACGGAGGGGGCCAGCGUUAUACGGAUUUACUGGGUGUAAAGGGAGCGUAGACGGGAAGACAAGCCAGAAGUGAAAGGGCUGGGCUCAACCCUGGAACUGCCUUGUAAACUGUGGGGCUGGAGUGCAGGAGGGGUAAGCGGAAUUCCUAGUGUAGCGGUGAAAUGCGUAGAUAUUAGGAGGAACACCGGUGGCGAAGGCGGCUUACUGGACUGUAACUGACGUUGAGGCUCGAAAGCGUGGGGAGCAAACAGGAUUAGAUACCCCGGUAGUC
rnacentral:rRNA from 1 species